ensembl:lncRNA
AGACAUAGUGUCAAAAAAAGACUGAUGGAGAGGGAUCCCCAAGCUCUCUGCCACCCUGGAGAACGGUGAGGAGGCAGAAAGGACGUGAUUUGUGGUCCAGACCUAUUUCCCAGGACGCCCACAGCUUGAACAUCUAAUCGGGAGAUGGAUACUCGGGCCGGGUUCCAGACUGGGGUGUGUUUCGUCAACCGCAUCGAGGGUGUCUCCAGUCCGCGUUUUUCCCGCCGCUGUGCUUUAGGUUCUAGUCUUAUAUGAUGCCCGCCCCCGGCCCCACCCCCCGGAACUGUUUCUUUUUGGAAAACAGCCAAGAGGCGAGGCCGUUCAAUGAACGUUGUCAUCACUCCCACCGAGUCGCCGAGCAAUCUCUCUGAAUUCGGAGCAUCCCCUGUGCUGGCUGGAAACCCCUGGUUUGUUUUCCAGGCCAGAAAAAAAAAGAAAGAAAGAAAGAAACGGGGCUGACAUGGAGAAGGAGCUAACGUGAUGCCCGUGGUCGAAGGCGCCUUGACGGCCACGACCUCCAUCAGCAGCACUGCCUGGGAUGUGAUGCUCGAAGAAAGAAAAAGAAAAAAAAGGGAGAGAAUGGCAAGAUGGGGAAAGAAGAAAACUUUUUGGGGAAAAUGGAACAGGUCCCCAAGCCACAAGCAAGUCUCUGCAGGAAAAUACCUCUUCGAAGCUAGAGUCAUUACCAUGCACAGAGAAUAUCACAGAACCAAAAUGUCCCAUCCAUAAAAGAAUACUGUGUAAUUUGAACAGAUUACAAAUCCAUCAAUGUUCCCAGCUGCUGAUACUAUGAGCGAUGGAGCCAUAUGUUCGCUUAAAUAAAGCUGCGAG